rnacentral:rRNA from 1 species
AUGUUCUACUCGCACUCCGUCCUGGCUCGGAAGAGCCCGCUGGGCACGGUGUGGAUCGCCGCGCACCUGGAGCGCAAGGCCAUCAACCGCACGCAGAUCGACGGCGUCGACGUCCGCUCCUACGCCGAGUCCAUAAUGGACCCCGAGGUCCCCAUCGCGCUCCGGCUGUCGGCGCACCUCCUCCUGGGCCUCGUCCGCAUCUACUCGUGGAAGGUGAACCACCUCUUCCAGGACUGCAACCGCAUGCUGAGCGCGAUCAGAACCGCCGCCGCCUUCGCCCCCGCGCGGGCGGACAUCGACCUGCCGUCCGACGCCGACCGCGCCCCCUUCGCGGCCAUCUCGCUGCCGGCGACCUUCAGCCUGGAUGACUGGAACCUGGACGACGCGAUCCUUCUGAUUGAGUCGCCGGACAACCACCGGAGAGCCGCCGAUGAGAUCACCUUGCCUGGAGAACAGUAUGUGAUGGUCACCCUUGAUGAGGACGGGCCGUCUCCUGCCUGUCGAUCCUUGCGCUUUGAGCCUGAGCCACAAGAGGAGGGAACAUUCCCUCCGUUUCCAGAGGAUUCAGUUUCUGUAGAUCUUCCGCCCCAGGAGAGUUUUCAUACCAAUGGGCGCCAAGAUUCACCGGAAAUAUUGCGUCGAGCGCCCGAUAGUGUGACAAGGUUUACUGAUGGCUCUGGCACUGACCCCAUGGACGAAGAUCCGUCGCCGUUCAUAGAAAAGGUUACCACACCACCGGCAGUGCACCCAUCUUUAUCCCCUGUUAGAGGAUCGUCUUUGCCUGGGACAUCCAUUCCAGACCUACCAACAGGUGUCAGCCAUGAUCCUAUGGAAGAAGAUGAAGAACCAGUCGGCACUGGAACCCUGGUACCAGCUGCAGCAUUUACCCUUGAACCAUCUCCACCUCCAGUUCAAGGUAACAAGAGAAAGAGAACGCAGAAUAAUGCACAAGAGAACCCGAGAAUCGACGAAAUAGUAGUGCUCUCCAACGACGAUAUGAGGUUGCAAGUCGAUGGCGAUGACUUGCAAAGGCUGGUCCGCAGGAGGAAGCCACUACCCCAUACAGCACUGGAUACGUGGAAAUUCAACAGGACAAGGCAAAGGGACAGCUUAUUCUCUGAACCCUUGGUACAAGGAAUGUGUGCUGAGCUUCAUAAAGCUUACGAGAGGAACGACCCUCGUGUGAGUGACUCUGAUGCUGAUGUUGCAAAUGCUGGUGACGGGGAUGCACCUCGAGGAAAUGCAGAUACACAUGAGCCUGAGCCUCACCUCACCCCAAUGUCUUCACAGGAGCCUGAACCUCACCUCACCCCAAUGUCUCCUGUAACCGGAGAAGCAACGCCAUUUGAUACGACACCUGAGCUCCCUCGGUUCUCUCUGCAAAUGGAUCUAUCUCCAGUAAGAGAAGAAGAUGACAGUCCUUUCAUCAAAACUCCUGCAGGUAGAAAUGGAACCCCAGGGUCUGGACUCGGAGGAACUGGUGCUACUGCUACUGCUACUGCACCGCCAACACAUGGCAGCGAUGCAACGCCUGGACAAAACACUCGUGAUUCUGAUCCUAACGGGUCUCAGUUCCCUUUCGGCGACGACUACCUCGAUGAAGAUCUGCCAGAGAUUCCAGGCCUCAUGAACACCCCUAGCGUGGCAUCUAGUGCGGAUACCGGCGCCACAGGACUGAGCAGCAUGUCUACUAGGACAAGGGCUGCCGCCAAGUUCUACAAAGGCAUGAUGUCCUCAGCCACAUCAGAGGACCAGCAGCGAGGGAAAUUCAGUUUGAGCAUAAUCUUGGACGGGAGGACAAGGAAGCAAGCUGCGAGCAUGUUCUUCGAGACAUUGGCCCUGAAGAGUUACGAUUAUAUCGACGUAUAUCAAGAAGAGGCGUAUGGUGACAUUUCAGUUUCAGUUAGACCCUCGCUCUCGGGCGCCAAACUUUGA